AGGAAGGCAGGUACUGAACUGGUCCUCUGGUGGAAAGGGGUCACCCACACUGGGCUUGACUCUCACCAUCAGGGUCCUGUCAACCCUCCAGUGAGACUUUUUCAGAAGAAUCCCUUUUAAAAUGACCUCAGGCUGACCUUCCUGCUGCAGAUUCCACAUAUGGUAUCUGAGUCUCACACAGUGUGGUUGGAAGAUAGCACAGUGACCUCCCAGGCACAGCCCUCCGCCAGCUGCCCUAGGAUGCCGGCUUUCCUCCGGUGAGAGUUGAGCCCAGUCUGCUGUUGGCCAGAAGCAGCUAGCAAGCUCCCUGGGAGGCCUGGAGAAGCCCUUCUCACUCAGCUUGGUGUUCGAUGCCAAUGCCCCCGCCCAUUGUGGGGUGAGAGUAGGACUCUCAGGGCAGCCCUGUCCAAAUCCUCAAAAGCCCUCUU